CAGCAGCCACGGGAAUACGUAGGUGGCAAGCGUUGUCCGGAAUUAUUGGGCGUAAAGGGCUCGCAAGCGGUUUCUUAAGUCUGAUGUGAAAGCCCCCGGCUCAACCGGGGAGGGUCAUUGGAAACUGGGAAACUUGAGUGCAGAAGAGGAGAGUGGAAUUCCACGUGUAGCGGUGAAAUGCGUAGAGAUGUGGAGGAACACCAGUGGCGAAGGCGACUCUCUGGUCUGUAACUGACGCUGAGGAGCGAAAGCGUGGGGAGCGAACAGGAUUAGAUACCCCCGUAGUCCCUGUCUCUUAUAC
rnacentral:rRNA from 1 species